rnacentral:rRNA from 1 species
UAGAGAGAGCUUGCUUCUCUUGAGAGCGGCGGACGGGUGAGUAAUACCUAGGAAUCUGCCUGAUAGUGGGGGAUAACGUUCGGAAACGGACGCUAAUACCGCAUACGUCCUACGGGAGAAAGCAGGGGACCUUCGGGCCUUGCGCUAUCAGAUGAGCCUAGGUCGGAUUAGCUAGUUGGUGAGGUAAUGGCUCACCAAGGCUACGAUCCGUAACUGGUCUGAGAGGAUGAUCAGUCACACUGGAACUGAGACACGGUCCAGACUCCUACGGGAGGCAGCAGUGGGGAAUAUUGGACAAUGGGCGAAAGCCUGAUCCAGCCAUGCCGCGUGUGUGAAGAAGGUCUUCAGAUUGUAAAGCACUUUAAGUUGGGAGGAAGGGCAUUAACCUAAUACGUUAGUGUCUUGACGUUACCGACAGAAUAAGCACCGGCUAACUCUGUGCCAGCAGCCGCGGUAAUACAGAGGGUGCAAGCGUUAAUCGGAAUUACUGGGCGUAAAGCGCGCGUAGGUGGUUUGUUAAGUUGAAUGUGAAAUCCCCGGGCUCAACCUGGGAACUGCAUCCAAAACUGGCAAGCUAGAGUAUGGUAGAGGGUAGUGGAAUUUCCUGUGUAGCGGUGAAAUGCGUAGAUAUAGGAAGGAACACCAGUGGCGAAGGCGACUACCUGGACUGAUACUGACACUGAGGUGCGAAAGCGUGGGGAGCAAACAGGAUUAGAUACCCUGGUAGUCCACGCCGUAGACGAUGUCAACUAGCCGUUGGGAGUCUUGAACUCUNNNUGGCGCAGCUAACGCAUUAAGUUGACCGCCUGGGGAGUACGGCCGCAAGGUUAAAACUCAAAUGAAUUGACGGGGGCCCGCACANGCGGUGGAGCAUGUGGUUUAAUUCGAAGCAACGCGAAGAACCUUACCAGGCCUUGACAUCCAAUGAACUUUCCAGAGAUGGAUUGGUGCCUUCGGGAACAUUGAGACAGGUGCUGCAUGGCUGUCGUCAACUCAUNNNGUGAGAUGUUGGGUUAAGUCCCGUAACGAGCGCAACCCUUGUCCUUAGUUACCAGCACGUAAUGGUGGGCACUCUAAGGAGACUGCCGGUGACAAACCGGAGGAAGGNNNGGAUGACGUCAAGUCAUCAUG